rnacentral:rRNA from 1 species
UAGUGGCAGACGGGUGAGUAAUGCAUAGGAAUCUACCUAGUAGUAUGGGAUAGCCACUGGAAAUGGUGGGUAAUACCGUAUAAUCCCCGCGGGGGAAAGAUUUAUCGCUAUUAGAUGAGCCUAUGUCGGAUUAGCUAGUUGGUGGGGUAAUGGCCUACCAAGGCAGUGAUCUGUAGCUGGUCUGAGAGGAUGAUCAGCCACACUGGAACUGAGACACGGUCCAGACUCCUACGGGAGGCAGCAGUGGGGAAUAUUGGACAAUGGGCGCAAGCCUGAUCCAGCUAUGCCGCGUGAGUGAGGAAGGCCUUAGGGUUGUAAAACUCUUUCAGUAGGGAAGAUAAUGACGGUACCUA